rnacentral:rRNA from 1 species
UACAGAGGUGGCGAGCGUUACUCGGAUUUAUUGGGUGUAAAGGGCAGGUAGGUGUCCCGUCAAGUUUUGGGUGAAAGCCUGCGGCUCAACCGCAGAACUGCCCAAAAAACUGGCGGGAUUGAGGCUAGAAGAGGAGAGCGGAAUUCCCGGUGUAAGGGUGAAAUCUGUAGAUAUCGGGAAGAACACCAGUGGCGAAAGCGGCUCUCUAGUCUAGCUCUGACACUAAGCUGCGAAAGCUCGGGGAG